rnacentral:sRNA from 1 species
AUAUAGAAGAAAAGAACAAAUUUUUAUCUUACAUAUUCAAUUUUGUAAUACAAUUUAAUUAUCUAUUUCAUAAAAAACUCGAUUUUAAUUCUACACACUUCAUCUUACUUGAUAAUGAUUUCAUGUCAAAAUAAUAUAUAUAUGAGAUCAAAUCUAUAUCUUAGUUAAUAUUAAAAAUUAUUAACAAUUAACAAAACAUAAUUAAUAAUAAUAAAAAA